UCUAGUGACGAUGGCGAGAAGGCCACACCCGUUCCCAUCCCGAACACGGAAGUUAAGCUUCUCAGCGCCAAUGGUAGUUAGGGGCUGUCCCCUUGUGAGAGUAGGACGUCGCUAGGC
rfam:Bacillus sp. FJAT-21945 scaffold23, whole genome shotgun sequence.